GCAGUCGAGGGGAACGGCNUUUGUGCUUGCACCGAAUGGACGUCGACCGGCGCACGGGUGAGUAACGCGUAUCCAACCUACCCAUUACUGUGGGAUAACCUGCCGAAAGGCAGACUAAUACCGCAUAGUCUUCGAUGACGGCAUCAGAUUUGAAGUAAAGAUUUAUCGGUAAUGGAUGGGGAUGCGUCUGAUUAGCUUGUUGGCGGGGUAANGGCCCACCAAGGCAACGAUCAGUAGGGGUUCUGAGAGGAAGGUCCCCCACAUUGGAACUGAGACACGGUCCAAACUCCUACGGGAGGCAGCAGUGAGGAAUAUUGGUCAAUGGGCGCGAGCCUGAACCAGCCAAGUAGCGUGCAGGAUGACGGCCCUAUGGGUUGUAAACUGCUUUUGUAUGGGGAUAAAGUCAAUCACGUGUGAUUGUUUGCAGGUACCAUACGAAUAAGGACCGGCUAAUUCCGUGCCAGCAGCCGCGGUAAUACGGAAGGUCCGGGCGUUAUCCGGAUUUAUUGGGUUUAAAGGGAGCGUAGGCCGGAGAUUAAGUGUGUUGUGAAAUGUAGACGCUCAACGUCUGACUUGCAGCGCAUACUGGUUUCCUUGAGUACGCACAACGUUGGCGGAAUUCGUCGUGUAGCGGUGAAAUGCUUAGAUAUGACGAANAACUCCGAUUGC
rnacentral:rRNA from 1 species